GGCUUUGGGCAGAGGCAGCCAGGGCGCCGGAAGAGGCCUGGAAAUCCACGCGGCUUCCCAAAGACGGCGCCUCUGUUCUGCGGGUUCGUGACGAGGAUUUAUUUCCACCCACUGCGCCUGGGCGCAGGUCUGCGGGUCCGCGCCCACUGCGUGCGGCGCCACGGACCAUGUCGGUGACUGAUCAGGCUUUUGUCACACUGGCCACAGAUGACAUCUACUGCCAGGGCGCCCUGGUCCUGGGGCAGUCACUGAGGAGACACAGGCUGACGAGGAAGCUGGUGGUGUUGAUCACUCCUCAGGUGUCCAGCCUGCUCAGGUGGAUCCACUAGAUGCUGUGAUUCAUGGUAGAUCUUCAGACGUUUGGUGGGCACCCACACAGGUACCUGAUUGUCACCUGGAGAGACAAAAGCAAAUCCUCUUCCCCAUAAAAUUAUCUUUCCUUUUCCCCAGCUCUUUGUAUGUUCAUCCCUCCACCAUAUAUCUUGUCCAGCCUUUUUCUUAUCCUUUUGUCCCAUCAGGUGUUGUUCAGCUGCAGUCAUGGGUUGAUCUUUUUGUAAAUUAAAAAAACUUAAUGUUAAUAAAGCUAAAUGCAAUUGCAUA
rnacentral:lncRNA from 1 species